GGGGGCCCUUAAGUGGAGGCUCAA
rnacentral:siRNA from 1 species